UACGUAGGGGGGCAAGCGUUGUCCGGAUUUAUUGGGCGUAAAGAGCGUGUAGGCGGCUUGGCAAGUCCGCUGUGAAAACUCGAGGCUCAACCUCGAGACGUCGGUGGAAACUGCCUCGCUAGAGUCCGGAAGAGGAGAGUGGAAUUCCUGGUGUAGCGGUGAAAUGCGCAGAUAUCAGGAAGAACACCCGUGGCUAAGGCGGCUCUCUAGUACGGUACUGACGCUAAGACGCGAAAGCGUGGGGAGCGAACAGG
rnacentral:rRNA from 1 species